GGGUUUGGCCGGGGUAGGUCGCCAGUGUAAAUAAUAUAUUAUCAUUAACUUACUUGCCUAUUUAAAUAAAGGUUAAAUUAAAAAAAAAAUGUGCGAGGGAGAACCCUGGAGCUGAGCGUGUCCUCCAUAGCACAGUAAGAGCCUAUUUAUGCUUUAUCCAAAACGUGUUCGGAGGCACGGUAUGGAUGGUGUGACGCAAUUGCGAAGUCUCUGGAGGCAGGCAGAGGCCAAAUUGAGCUCUGUAAUGUUCGCCGUGCGCUUCUCAAAUGUUGUAACGAUGCGGAGGGCUCUGUACAGCAACGCAUUGACAUGAUUGGUUAACGGUAAGUGGGGGCGGGAGGUCCUGUAUAAACACAAACUCACUUCCUUGACAACUUCCUUCACAACAGCUCAACAGAAAAACAGCUCUGCGAAGCGCAAUAAUUAUAAAUGCCCAGACUUCUGCAGUGGCCAUAUCACGGUAAAUGCUGCACGACCAAUUGCAGACGUCAGAAUGACCACGCAGCCCCUUUAAUGGGGGAGGGAGCCGUUACUCCACUUUGACACAGAGAUUCUGGACCCUUAUUUAAACAUCCUUCCUGUCUGCGACGGAAGGCCAGAGCGAAUGGCCGGCCACCUGACCCCUUCGUGGAGCGACUCCACUUCCUGUUCCCCUGACCUUUAAACCUGAGGUCAACACCUCUGGACUUACCACUUAAGCAGCAAGAUGGCUUCCUUGGCGCUUCCAUCGUUGCGCAUUCAGAUGUGUGUGUCGCUUGGUAGCACAGCAUGAAAAGCUAUGAUCACGUUUGGGCAAACGCCCAUGAAUAGGGACGGCUGGACGACGGGACUCCCUCUGAAUACAGAGUUGGGGGGGCUGGCCGCCACUGCCACGGGACACUGCACACAUGUGUGGGACUGGUUGGCCACACUCCAGUUACGUGAGUGUGUGUGCGCGCACACACCCCUCACUGUUAUGACGGCCAAUAUUACCCACCCCUCCCAACUCUCAUACACACAUGCACUUUAUGUGCCACAUACACAUGUUCCCUGUCACAAGCACACUCACACUCUGUCCCCCACACACUCGCUCUCUUUCUCUCUCUCCGUUGGUGAAAAAGUGCAUUGGAGGGGAGGAAAAAAAGCAACAAAGUUCCUGCAGAGCCGGAGAGGUCACAGCAACAACACCCAAUCCCAGCUCUGUUCCCAUGGAGACAAGUGUGCUAGUAUACAAUGGGGGAGGAGCAGGAGGGAGUGGAGGGGAG